rnacentral:rRNA from 1 species
AAACCAGCACCUCAAGUGGUCAGGAGGAUUAUUGGGCCUAAAGCGUCCGUAGCCUGUUCUAUAAGUUUCCGGUUAAAUCCAUUAGCUCAACUAAUGGGCUGCCGGAAAUACUGUAGAACUAGGGAGUGGGAGAGGUAGACGGUAUUCGGUAGGAAGGGGUAAAAUCCUUUGAUCUAUUGAGGACCACCUGUGGCGAAGGCGGUCUACCAGAACACGUUCGACGGUGAGGGAUGAAAGCUGGGGGAGCAAACCGGAUUAGAUACCCGAGUAGUCC